CGGUUAAGUUAGAAAGGGCGCACGGUGGAUGCCUUGGCACUAGGAGCCGAUGAAGGACGGGACGAACACCGAUAUGCUUCGGGGAGCUGUAAGCAAGCUUUGAUCCGGAGAUUUCCGAAUGGGGAAACCCACCACUCGUAAUGGAGUGGUAUCCAUAUCUGAAUACAUAGGAUAUGAGAAGGCAGACCCGGGGAACUGAAACAUCUAAGUACCCGGAGGAAGAGAAAGCAAAUGCGAUUCCCUGAGUAGCGGCGAGCGAAACGGGACCAGCCCAAACCAAGAGGCUUGCCUCUUGGGGUUGUAGGACACUCUGUACGGAGUUACAAAGGAACGAGGUAGAUGAAGAGGUCUGGAAAGGCCCGCCAUAGAAGGUAACAGCCCUGUAGUCAAAACUUCGUUCUCUCCUGAGUGGAUCCUGAGUACGGCGGAACACGUGAAAUUCCGUCGGAAUCCGGGAGGACCAUCUCCCAAGGCUAAAUACUCCCUAGUGACCGAUAGUGAACCAGUACCGUGAGGGAAAGGUGAAAAGCACCCCGGAAGGGGAGUGAAAGAGAUCCUGAAACCGUGUGCCUACAAGUAGUCAGAGCCCGUUAACGGGUGAUGGCGUGCCUUUUGUAGAAUGAACCGGCGAGUUACGAUCCCGUGCAAGGUUAAGCAGAAGAUGCGGAGCCGCAGCGAAAGCGAGUCUGAAUAGGGCGAAUUGAGUACGUGGUCGUAGACCCGAAACCAGGUGAUCUACCCAUGUCCAGGGUGAAGUUCAGGUAACACUGAAUGGAGGCCCGAACCCACGCACGUUGAAAAGUGCGGGGAUGAGGUGUGGGUAGGGGUGAAAUGCCAAUCGAACCUGGAGAUAGCUGGUUCUCUCCGAAAUAGCUUUAGGGCUAGCUUCAAGGUAAGAGUCUCGGAGGUAGAGCACUGAUUGGACUAGGGGCCCCUACCGGGUUACCGAAUUCAGUCAAACUCCGAAUGCCGAUGACUUAUCCUUGGGAGUCAGACUGCGAGUGAUAAGAUCCGUAGUCGAAAGGGAAACAGCCCAGACCGCCAGCUAAGGUCCCAAAGUAUACGUUAAGUGGAAAAGGAUGUGGAGUUGCUUAGACAACCAGGAUGUUGGCUUAGAAGCAGCCACCAUUUAAAGAGUGCGUAAUAGCUCACUGGUCGAGUGACUCUGCGCCGAAAAUGUACCGGGGCUAAACGUAUCACCGAAGCUGCGGACUGUUCUUCGAACAGUGGUAGGAGAGCGUUCUAAGGGCUGUGAAGCAAGACCGGAAGGACUUGUGGAGCGCUUAGAAGUGAGAAUGCCGGUAUGAGUAGCGAAAGAGGGGUGAGAAUCCCCUCCACCGAAUGCCUAAGGUUUCCUGAGGAAGGCUCGUCCGCUCAGGGUUAGUCGGGACCUAAGCCGAGGCCGAAAGGCGUAGGCGAUGGAUAACAGGUUGAUAUUCCUGUACCACCUCCUCACCAUUUGAGCAAUGGGGGGACGCAGGAGGAUAGGGUAAGCGCGGUAUUGGAUAUCCGCGUCCAAGCAGUUAGGCUGGGAAAUAGGCAAAUCCGUUUCCCGUGAAGGCUGAGCUGUGAUGGCGAGCGAAUUAUAGUAGCGAAGUUCCUGAUUCCACACUGCCAAGAAAAGCCUCUAGCGAGGUGAGAGGUGCCCGUACCGCAAACCGACACAGGUAGGCGAGGAGAGAAUCCUAAGGUGAUCGAGAGAACUCUCGUUAAGGAACUCGGCAAAAUGACCCCGUAACUUCGGGAGAAGGGGUGCUCUGUUAGGGUGCAAGCCCGAGAGAGCCGCAGUGAAUAGGCCCAGGCGACUGUUUAGCAAAAACACAGGUCUCUGCGAAGCCGUAAGGCGAAGUAUAGGGGCUGACGCCUGCCCGGUGCUGGAAGGUUAAGAGGAGCGCUUAGCGUAAGCGAAGGUGCGAAUUGAAGCCCCAGUAAACGGCGGCCGUAACUAUAACGGUCCUAAGGUAGCGAAAUUCCUUGUCGGGUAAGUUCCGACCCGCACGAAAGGCGCAACGAUCUGGGCACUGUCUCAACGAGAGACUCGGUGAAAUUAUAGUACCUGUGAAGAUGCAGGUUACCCGCGACAGGACGGAAAGACCCCGUGGAGCUUUACUGCAGCCUGAUAUUGAAUGUUGGUACAGCUUGUACAGGAUAGGUAGGAGCCUUGGAAACCGGAGCGCCAGCUUCGGUGGAGGCAUCGGUGGGAUACUACCCUGGCUGUAUUGACCUUCUAACCCGCCGCCCUUAUCGGGCGGGGAGACAGUGUCAGGUGGGCAGUUUGACUGGGGCGGUCGCCUCCUAAAAGGUAACGGAGGCGCCCAAAGGUUCCCUCAGAAUGGUUGGAAAUCAUUCGCAGAGUGUAAAGGCACAAGGGAGCUUGACUGCGAGACCUACAAGUCGAGCAGGGACGAAAGUCGGGCUUAGUGAUCCGGUGGUUCCGCAUGGAAGGGCCAUCGCUCAACGGAUAAAAGCUACCCCGGGGAUAACAGGCUUAUCUCCCCCAAGAGUCCACAUCGACGGGGAGGUUUGGCACCUCGAUGUCGGCUCAUCGCAUCCUGGGGCUGUAGUCGGUCCCAAGGGUUGGGCUGUUCGCCCAUUAAAGCGGUACGCGAGCUGGGUUCAGAACGUCGUGAGACAGUUCGGUCCCUAUCCGUCGCGGGCGCAGGAAAUUUGAGAGGAGCUGUCCUUAGUACGAGAGGACCGGGAUGGACGCACCGCUGGUGUACCAGUUGUUCUGCCAAGGGCAUCGCUGGGUAGCUAUGUGCGGACGGGAUAAGUGCUGAAAGCAUCUAAGCAUGAAGCCCCCCUCAAGAUGAGAUUUCCCAUUCCGCAAGGAAGUAAGAUCCCUGAAAGAUGAUCAGGUUGAUAGGUCUGAGGUGGAAGUGUGGCGACACAUGGAGCUGACAGAUACUAAUCGAUCGAGGACUUAACCAAUUU
rnacentral:rRNA from 1 species